rnacentral:rRNA from 1 species
UACGUAGGGGGCAAGCGUUGUCCGGAAUCAUUGGGCGUAAAGCGCGCGUAGGCGGCCCUGUAAGUCCGUUGUGAAAGUCAAAGGGCUCAACCUUUGAAAGCCGAUGGAUACUGCAGGGCUCGAGUUCGGAAGAGGCGAGUGGAAUUCCUGGUGUAGCGGUGGAAUGCGCAGAUAUCAGGAGGAACACCAAUAGCGAAGGCAGCUCGCUGGGACGAUACUGACGCUAAGGCGCGAAAGCGUGGGGAGCGAACAGGA